UACGUAGGGGCCUAGCGUUGUCCGGAUUUAUUGGGCGUAAAGAGCUCGUAGGCGGUUCGGUAAGUCAGGUGUGAAAUCUCCACGCUCAACGUGGAGGCGACACCUGAAACUGCCGUGACUCGAGUCCGGUAGGGGAGUGUGGAAUUCCCGGUGUAGCGGUGAAAUGCGCAGAUAUCGGGAGGAACACCAGUGGCGAAGGCGGCACUCUGGGCCGGUACUGACGCUGAGGAGCGAAAGCGUGGGGAGCGAACAGG
rnacentral:rRNA from 1 species